rnacentral:tRNA from 1 species
GUUUCUGUAGCUUAUUUUUUAAAGCACAGCACUGAAGCUGCUGAGAUGGGAGAUUGAAACUCCCCAACAACA